AAAGUCGUAACAAGGUCUCCGUUGGUGAACCAGCGGAGGGAUCAUUACCGAGUUUACAACUCCCAAACCCCUGUGAACAUACCUAUAACGUUGCCUCGGCGGCGCCUGUCUCCCCGUAAAACGGGAGCGGCCCGCCAGAGGAAAACCAAACUCUUGUUUUAGAAGUAUCUUCUGAGUAACAAAAACAAUCAAUUAAAACUUUCAACAACGGAUCUCUUGGUUCUG
rnacentral:misc_RNA from 1 species